rnacentral:rRNA from 1 species
UACGUAGGUGACAAGCGUUGUCCGGAUUUACUGGGCGUAAAGAGCGCGCAGGCGGUCGUUCAAGUCGAGUGUGAAAGCCCCCGGCUCAACUGGGGAGGGUCACUCGAUACUGAUCGACUCGAAGGCAGGAGAGGGAAGUGGAAUUCCCGGUGUAGUGGUGAAAUGCGUAGAUAUCGGGAGGAACACCAGUGGCGAAGGCGGCUCUCUGGGACGGUACUGACGCUGAGACGCGAAAGCGUGGGGAGCGAACAGGA